GGACGAACGCUGGCGGCGUGCCUAAUACAUGCAAGUUGAGCGAUGAAGAUUGGUGCUUGCCCCAAUUUGAAGAGCAGCGAACGGGUGAGUAACGCGUGGGGAAUCUGCCUUUGAGCGGGGGACAACAUUUGGAAACGAAUGCUAAUACCGCAUAACAACUUUAAACAUAAGUUUUAAGUUUGAAAGAUGCAAUUGCAUCACUCAAAGAUGAUCCCGCGUUGUAUUAGCUAGUUGGUGAGGUAAAGGCUCACCAAGGCGAUGAUACAUAGCCGACCUGAGAGGGUGAUCGGCCACAUUGGGACUGAGACACGGCCCAAACUCCUACGGGAGGCAGCAGUAGGGAAUCUUCGGCAAUGGACGAAAGUCUGACCGAGCAACGCCGCGUGAGUGAAGAAGGUUUUCGGAUCGUAAAACUCUGUUGGUAGAGAAGAACGUUGGUGAGAGUGGAAAGCUCAUCAAGUGACGGUAACUACCCAGAAAGGGACGGCUAACUACGUG
rnacentral:rRNA from 1 species